rnacentral:lncRNA from 1 species
GAGCAGGAUCCCGAGCGAACACAUCCUGCCCAGCAUCCUCUCCAGCAUCCCAAGCCAAGCCGAGGUUGCAGGUGUGAGGGAGGGUGUUAUGUAGCCCCGGAGUAGUCUCAAACUACCAUUAUAACUGACGAUUACCUUGAGCACUUGAUCUUCUGUCAUCUACUUCACAACUUUUGGGACUAUAGACACAUGCAACCGUGCCAAGUCUUAUGUGGUAUGGUGGCCACAAAAUUAGGACAUCUUUUGUCCUAAGCAAACACUCUGCCAAUUUAACCACACCCCAGCCAGAGAACCUGUUAUCUAAAUAUCAAUUAGCACUAG